GACGAACGCUGGCGGCGUGCUUAACACAUGCAAGUCGAACGGAAAGGCCCUGCUUUUGUGGGGUGCUCGAGUGGCGAACGGGUGAGUAACACGCGAGUAACCUGCCCUUGACUUUGGGAUAACUUCAGGAAACUGGGGCUAAUACCGGAUAGGAGCUCCUGCUGCAUGGUGGGGGUUGGAAAGUUUCGGCGGUUGGGGAUGGACUCGCGGCUUAUCAGCUUGUUGGUGGGGUAGUGGCUUACCAAGGCUUUGACGGGUAGCCGGCCUGAGAGGGUGACCGGCCACAUUGGGACUGAGAUACGGCCCAGACUCUUACGGGAGGCAGCAGUGGGGAAUAUUGCACAAUGGGCGGAAGCCUGAUGCAGCAACGCCGCGUGCGGGAUGACGGCCUUCGGGUUGUAAACCGCUUUCGCCUGUGACGAAGCGUGAGUGACGGUAAUGGGUAAAGAAGCACCGGCUAACUACGUG
rnacentral:rRNA from 1 species